rnacentral:rRNA from 1 species
AGGACGUCUACAUUAGAUACCCGCGUAGUCCCAGCCGUAAACUAUGCGCGUUAGGUGUAUCGGUGACCACGAGUUACCGAGGUGCCGAAGGGAAACCGUGAAACGUGCCGCCUGGGAAGUACGGUCGCAAGGCUGAAACUUAAAGGAAUUGCGGGGGAGCACCACAACAGGUGGAGCCUGCGGUUUAAUUGGACUCAACGCCGGGAAGCUCACCGGAUAGGACAGCAGAAUGAUUGCCGGGCUGAAGACCCUGCAUGACUAGCUG